rnacentral:tRNA from 1 species
GGGGCGGUGGCCAAGCUGGUGAAGGCAGCGGGCUCAUAACCCGACGAUCGUGGGUUCAAGUCCCACCCGCCCUACCG